ACGAAAACGAAGACGGGGAAAAGUAGAAAAAUGAUGCUUAAAAGAGAGAACCAUCACCGGCUGAAAGUGGUUCAGGCCUCUCGCUUUUUUGAAAUGCACCCCUGAGUCCUGCCCGAACCGGCGAAAGCCGCAGUAGGAGACAGGCGGCACCUGCCGUUAAUAGGUUUAAGUUGGGGCUGGAUCCUUUUUGCAAAAAGGAACAUGCCCAAACAGAGUGGAACCGCGCACAAGCGUCUCUGUC
rnacentral:ncRNA from 1 species